rnacentral:misc_RNA from 1 species
UUAACGGUCAUCGAUCUAUGUA